rnacentral:rRNA from 1 species
GACAGAGGAUGCAAGCGUUAUCCGGAAUGAUUGGGCGUAAAGCGUCUGUAGGUGGCUUUUCAAGUCCGCCGUCAAAUCCCAGGGCUCAACCUGGGAAUGGCGAUGGAUACUGGCGCGCUAGAGUGCGGUAGAGGAGAGUGGAAUUCCCGGUGUAGCAGUGAAAUGCGUAGAGAUCGGGAGGAACAUCAGUUGCGAAGGCGGCUCUCUGGACCAGCACUGACACUGAGGCACGAAAGCGUGGGGAGCAAACAGG